CAAAAAUGUAAGCUUAUUUUAUAGGUUUAUUUUUCAUUUGUAUUAAUUGAAUGCUGGCCCAUUGCCUACAAAAUCAGUUGUCCUCGGAUAGGAUAAUCAUUUCAAUUUGAUUAAAAAAAAACAAAGUGAAAACUGAAUUGAAUCUUUACCACAUGAAAUAAUACAUUGUAAUAUGUAUUAAAAAAUACAGACAGUGAGUUUUGAACCAUAUUUACUAUUAUUUGUUGUUGCUCAAAAUGUGUCCCACAUAUUCGUCACCACCAUCAGAUAUCUAUAAAAAGCAAUAAUAAUCAGGCAACUACAAGGUCAAGGCCAUUCCUGAGGACCCCCUUUUCAAACCUUCAGCUCUACUGCAUGCUUCAAGAUCACUCAAGCUCCUUGCCGGAAAACGAGAGAGGCCUGGAGUCAAUGCAGAGAACCAGGAACCAGAUCAGGGAGGCAUACUCCGAGAUUGAUCCUGAUGUGGCUGACAUAAUAAGGGAGGAGGAGAAUGCCAUAAUCAACAUCAGGGUGUCGUUUGAUGGUACAUGGCAGAAGAGAGGUUUCACGUCCCGCCACGGCAUUGGCGUGUGCAUUGACAUCCUCACUGGACUGGUAUUGGACUUUGAGGUGCUAUCCUCCUACUGCCAUGCCUGUACCCUGAGAGAGAGUUAUAGGCGAGAUGGUAAAAUGACACAGGAAGAGUUUCAUGGUUUUUGCACCAUUUUUAAAGUCAAAUUUAAGACUUUUUAAGACCUUUUUAAGACCAACACAUAUAUAAAUUAAGACCAAAAAAAAAAAAAUGUCUGAACAAUUAUUUGAUAGAAAAGGGAAUUUAUUGAGUCACUUAUAAGACACAACCUAAUUGAGUGAAACUUCACAUCUUUAAAAGCGUACUUGCAUACUAAGAAAUAUGGGAACCUUUUAUAUAGUUCUGAACAUGACCUAGCUUGCUGAACUUGAUUUGAUUCCACUGAAAAGGAAACCAUGUGAACAUAGCGGAUUUCUUUUAUAUUUUUAGAUAUUAUUAUUGUCUUUUAUUUAUUUGUUUCUUUUUUCCAACCCAUUUAAAUGUAUGCAAGUGAUAAAUGUGUAAAAUAAUAAAUAAUCGAAAAAAUAAAUAAAUGUCCUUUGUCAAAUAGCACAAAGGUUAACUUGGAAAGUUGGAAAAAGAAAACAUCAAACAAAUUUGAAUGGAUGACAUAACAAGAGCCUUGGUCAACAGGUCAACAGACCAAAGUCAUUCA
ensembl:lncRNA